rnacentral:rRNA from 1 species
CCAAUAGCGUAUAUUAAAGUUGUUGCAGUUAAAAAGCUCGUAGUUGAAUUUCGGGAUCAGUAUGUUGGUCGUGCUUCGGUACGUACUGUCAUUACUGGUUUCUACCUUCUGAAGAACCUUGAUGUCAUUAAUUUGGUGUCUUGGGGAAUCAGGACUGUUACUUUGAAAAAAUUAGAGUGUUUAAAGCAGGCAUACGCUUGAAUACAUUAGCAUGGAAUAA